rnacentral:pre_miRNA from 1 species
GAGGGGAGCGCAGGAUCCUGGGCUUUGUCCCCCGUGCCCUGGGCUCCGGGGCCUGCGCCGCUGGAAUCGCGCUCCCGGGGCCCCGCAGCCCCCU